GAUCAACGCUGGCGGCGUGCCUAAUGCAUGCAAGUCGAACGGGGUCCUCUUUGGGGGACUUACGUGGCGGACGGGUGCGGAACACGUGGGGAAUCUGCCCGUGGGCGGGGGAUAGCCUCCAGAAAUGGGGGGUAAUGCCGCAUGUGCGAGGGGACGCGUAGCGUCUUUUCGGAAAGAUUGGCUUCGGCCAGUCACCCACGGAGGAGCCUGCGGCCGAUUAGCUCGUUGGUGUGGUAACGGCGCACCAAGGCGAUGAUCGGUAGCUGGUCUGAGAGGACGGCCAGCCACACGGGGACUGAGACACGGCCCCGACUCCUACGGGAGGCAGCAGCAAGGAAUCUUCCGCAAUGGGCGCAAGCCUGACGGAGCAACGCCGCGUGCGGGAUGAGGCGCUUCGGCGUGUAAACCGCUUUUCCCGGAGAAGAAGGUGGGGGGAACUCCACUUGACGGUACCCGGGGAAUCAGGACCGGCUAACUACGUGCCAGCAGCCGCCGUAAAAC
rnacentral:rRNA from 1 species